AUUUAAAUAGCUUAAGUAAGAGCAUGGUAUUGAAGAUACCCAGGUAGUUUAAUAACUUUUAAAUA
rnacentral:tRNA from 1 species